CAGAGAAGUGACGGUGGAUAUGAGCGGAGCAGAGGAAAAGGAGGGGCUGAACAACUGCAUGUUUGAAGUAUGCUGGGACACAGCCAGAUUGCAAGGAGCUGUUUAUGACGGAAACCAGGCAUGGCCCAAUACAGUCAAGUGCAUUUUUGAGCACGGAGACAAGUCCUCAAGCGUGAGGUCGCCUGACUCGGACACAUCCUUCACCUGCGGCCUCCACUCCUCUGUGCAGCUGACCUCAGCCCCGG